ensembl:lncRNA
ACCGUUCUGUUGCCAAGUCUCCUUCAGUCUUCCUUGUUUUGCUGCAGAACCUGCUAUUGAGAUGGAACUCUGUGCAAGGAAAUGCCAUGCUUGAAUGUACCUUGAGAUGUGAAGCAUGGCAAGAACUAACACCCAAGAACUCAUCAGAAUAAAAGCAGUCUGACAGCAGUGCUCUGGGGGCCAGCCCCUCUCCUGCUAGCCAUCAACAUGAAGAUGCUCCUAGGCUGAGGAGACGGCAACUUUCCAGGCAUAACCAGUGUUUUCCGCAUCGGUACUUGUUUACUGGGAACCAAAAGCAUGUGUUUUCAAAUGAGGAUCCCUAA